UACGUAGGGUGCAAGCGUUAAUCGGAAUUACUGGGCGUAAAGGGCGCGUAGGCGGGCAAUUCAAGUCAUCUGUGAAAAUCUCCGGGCUUAACCCGGAACGGUCAGGUGAUACUGUUUUGCUAGAGUGCGGAAGGGGCAAUCGGAAUUCUCGGUGUAGCGGUGAAAUGCGUAGAUAUCGAGAGGAACACCAGAGGUGAAGACGGGUUGCUGGGCCGACACUGACGCUGACAGCGCGAAAGCCAGGGAGCAAACGGG
rnacentral:rRNA from 1 species